rnacentral:rRNA from 1 species
GUGCCAGGCGCCGCGGUAAUACGGAGGGGGUUAGCGUUGUUCGGAAUUACUGGGCGUAAAGCGCGCGUAGGCGGACUGGAAAGUUGGGGGUGAAAUCCCGGGGCUCAACCCCGGAACUGCCUUCAAAACUAUCAGUCUAGAGUUCGAGAGAGGUGAGUGGAAUUGCGAGUGUAGAGGUGAAAUUCGUAGAUAUUCGCAGGAACACCAGUGGCGAAGGCGGCUCACUGGCUCGAUACUGACGCUGAGGUGCGAAAGUGUGGGGAGCAAACAGGAUUAGAUACCCCGGUAGUCC